GAUGAACGCUGGCGGCGUGCCUAAUACAUGCAAGUCGAGCGAACGGACGAGAAGCUUGCUUCUCUGAUGUUAGCGGCGGACGGGUGAGUAACACGUGGAUAACCUACCUAUAAGACUGGGAUAACUUCGGGAAACCGUAGCUAAUACCGGAUAAUAUUUUGAACCGCAUGGUUCAAAAGUGAAAGACGGUCUUGCUGUCACUUAUAGAUGGAUCCGCGCUGCAUUAGCUAGUUGGUAAGGUAACGGCUUACCAAGGCAACGAUGCAUAGCCGACCUGAGAGGGUGGACGGGCAACACGGAACCUGGAAACGGGUCCAGACUCCUAGGGGAGGAAGCAGUAGGGAAUCUUCCGAAAGGGGCGAAAGCCUGACGGAGCAACGCGGGGGGGGUGAGGAAGGCCUUCGAAUCGUAAAACCCUGUUAUUAGGAAGAACAUAUGUGUAAGUAACUGUGCACAUCUUGACGGUACCUAAUCAGAAAGCCACGGCUAACUACGUG
rnacentral:rRNA from 1 species